rnacentral:tRNA from 1 species
AGCGAGAUAGUGUAAAGGUUCGCACACCAGCCUCAUGAGCUGUUAGAUUGGGUUCAAUUCCUAAUCUCGCUA